GCCCCAGGGACUGACUGAUUUUCCCACAGGAAAUGUGCAUGAUUGCGUGUCUGUUUUGUGGGCUGGCCAUUUGGAUUGAGUGAAUGUCUGUGUUGUGAUUCCUUAUUGAUUCAAAGGUUGGAAAGGUUUGUGCUCAAUACAGGGGUCUCUUUGUGCGAUGGGAAAUGUGAUCGCAGCUGCCUUCAGGGUGGGGAGAGCCCUUGAGGCCCUCAGUGGUGGCCGGUGUCGGCCUUCGCUUUCCUGGGUGAGCUGUCCUCAGGGUGGGAAGGGAGGCCCUCGGUGGUGACCGCUGUUGGCCUUCACCUCCCUGGGUGAGUGCUGCUCCAUCCCCGGCUCUCUGACUCCUUGCCUGGCACCUUCCUCGUUGGAGGCCGUGAUCCAUGAACUUUUUCCACGCGUGUCCUGUAGACUAGUGCUGACUGCAGGUUCAGGAGUGGUCAGAGGAGGCCAGAGGAGGCCCUCGUGAUGCGAAGCUAAACGUUUAAUGAUGGCGCUGUUGAGUGCAUGAGCCGCGUCAGCCCAAGAGUCUGGGGCGAGGCUUGCUGCAGGGGCUACAGUGUCCAAGAAGCCCCAGGACCCACAGCCUGCAAGCUGGAGUCCUAGGAGGGUGUGGCUUGAAGACUUGAGAAGCGGAGGGUGCAGAUCCCAGACCGGUCUGAGGAGCUGAGACCCAGGAGCACGGGCUGCAGAAGACAGAUGUCACUGGCCCAUCAGCCAGACAGGUGGAGUGAACCCAGUUUUCCCCGCCUUGCUGUUUCACUCGGGCCCUGGGUGGAUAGGGUGGUGCCCCCCACACCGGCGAGGAUGGGUCUCCACUCAGUCCAGAGGCAAACAUGUAUCUCACACAGAAAUAAUGCAGAACCAGCCAUCUGGGCACCCUGGGCACGCUCAGGUUGAUGCACAAAACCAACUCCGCGCGUGGCCCUGACGUCUGCGUGUUCGCAUCACUCCAUGCACAUUACUCGGUCGUCGCCUUGUGCCCAAGAGGCUGAUGCCACAUAGAAGACCUGCAGGUCGGUGGAUGUGAAACAGGCAUCGGACACGCUGUGCACCUUGGGACGCAUCUGAGAAGUGCGUGCUGGCAGCAGGUCUGAGGUGAGGGCGUGUUCCAUCUCCUCUCCCUUCUCUGGCUUUGCAGGCCUUUGAAGUUGGUCCUGGAAAGUGAAAUUAGUUAAUGCUGAUUAGCUCCAGGUCAAAGCCGGGGGACCGAAGAGACCCGCCCUUCACUAGGGGUGUGAAGCAUUGGGCCCUCCCAUCAGGAGGCAGCAGGGACUCGAGAAAGCCCCACAUGCCCUCCAGUUCCCUUAUGUUGAAAUUGGUUGUACUCGGCCAUGCCGGGUCAUUUUGGGAGGUAAAUGGGGGUUUCACAUGGGGGUGUGCAGUACUGUUAGGUGUCAGGUGCGAGAGUUGAAUUUGUAGAAGCUGUGCGGAUAGGAAAGGGCCUGGCAGGGAGUGCUGUUUACAGGGAGCAGAUUUAACGUGAGGUCUGUGCUCUGCCUGGGUCCGUGUCUGACCGGUGUCUCCCAGUCUGCAACAGGACGUUCACGUGACUCGGCGCCAUCGUCCCACUCUGUGUAGACGUCUGAGGAUCUGUGCGCGGCUGCUCUGUUAGAGCGAGUUGUGAUAAUGAACUGAGAAACAGUGAACAAACCCUGAAUUGGUUAGCACUGGUUCCACGGCCACUUCUGCCGUGGUUGGAGUCAUUCAUAAUAAAAUGUGCUGGACUCCUAUGCAGAGCUCUGAAUUUCAGAGGCCCUUUAACUUGGCAGCUAACCAGCCGCUUCCUUCAGAAGACAUUUGAGUCCCCUUUACCUACCAGGGUGACUCUGGGAGUUUGAAGAUGAGUGAGACAAGCCCUCCAUGUCUUGUGGAUUUUACUGUCCAGAGGGGAGACAGAUGUGGAUGGUGAAGAAGUCCCUAUCAGAGGUCAGCGCAUGUCAGUUUUGUUUCUUCAGCACUUGCUAUGUUCAGGCGGUGCCCCGGGCCACGUGCAGAGCAUCUGGGGACCCUGCCCAUGGCAUCCCAGACACAGCUAGCAUCUGUGCCAUCUUCGUACUUUGCCUGAGUUUUGGGGAAGUACCGAGGAUGGCUUCUGCCUUUGCUGGAGAGAGUUGGAAGUCAGGGCAGCCCUCCACAAGGAGAUGAUCGCCAGCUGAUUCCUCAAGAAAGAGAGGUGGUCCCCACAUGGGCAGAGCAGGGCAGCAUGCAGAGACCUGGGUGUGGGGUCUGGGGCAUGUGCAUCUGAGUGGGGUCUGCUGGGAGACAGCAGGGGUGAGGUGUGAAGGCAGUUGGAAUUGACAGGAUAAAUUAUCACUAAGGUGAUGCUGGCAAAACAUAAAAUUGGGACUCUCUGGGGUAAACGUGGACUUAGGGUGACCCUGUGCAUGGGUGUUUUCAGGCUCUGAAGGCAGAGAUUUAAGAAAUUGGGGCAGAGCUGAGCCCCAGACGAGGAUGAAGACCACCCUUGGGAUGUUGAAUGAGACAGGGGUGGAAAUCCAGUGAAUAUCCUGGGGUCAGUCCAGCAGGAAGGCAGCAGAGGAGACCGGUGUCCUCAAAGGCCCCUUGGGCCUGCCUCUCAAAGUGCUGGGAUUACAGGCAUGAGCCACUGCUCCCUGCUGAUACUUUUAAAAUUUCUAAGCUGCUCUCUCUCAUAUCCACUCCCGUAUUUUUUUUUUUUUAGACCAGGUUUAUGGCUAUAUUUUUUCCAAGGGAAUCAAAAAGUUACCUGUUUGAAAUACAAAUAACACCGUGUUUAAAAACCGAAAAUGCUAAUUUGCGUAGAAGUUUCCAAAUACCCAGUUGGUUUGAGCCUUGCAUUGCAGUGUCACUACCUGCUCUUAAAUUUCUACAUGAUGUAUAGAUAGUGAGGCAGGGACGGCUCGUACAUCUUCAGGUUUUGAUUCUACUAACUUAGGCUAUAUUUUCAUUUAUUUUGGCACACCUGUGGGUGUGGCAAGCAAUGUCAGGGUAUUUAUUUUGAAGCUUGCCCAACAACAGUUGGGAAGAUUUUCACAUUUUUAGAAUUUUCAUAGUAAUAGUUAUAAUUUACAAAGAAUUUAAAAUUGUGUAGUCAUUAUUUUGCUUUUUUCUAGAUAUGCCCUGAAACAGGGUUGCUAACUAUCAUUCUACAUCACAGGAUUCAGAACAGGACCAUUUUGGAGCAGACGCCUGUAAUCGAGGAAUUCCGCCUAGUCAGUUGACUUUAAACUUGUUUAAAAGGUUUUCUUUAUCCUAGUUGGCACCUGUGGCUAUAGUUUGUUUUCACUGCUGAGGAAUAUUCCAUGAUGGAAACUGUAAUUCAUCUGUUUUUCAUAUCGGUGGACAUUUGGAUUAUUUGGGGAGGGUGUGUAUGUCUAUUCAGCCUUCGUUUUUUCAGGAUUUUUUGUAGAAGAUAACGUAACAGUGUAACAUCCUCUGCUACGGAGCCAACACGAACCCUGAUUACAGCCACACAGACUCACACACAGACUCUCAGGCCUUGUUACCAACGCACAGAACCAUUUUCUUAAGUUGAAGCACAGUAGCAGAACCUGAAGCCAUGUGAACGGGUCCUCUGAUCUUACACUUGGAAUUCGCUUUUUAUUACUAUGUCUGCUAAUUAGGAAGCCUAUCAAUUAUACAGAAA